rnacentral:rRNA from 1 species
AUUGAACGCUGGCGGCAGGCCUAACACAUGCAAGUCGAGCGGCAGCGGGAAAGUAGCUUGCUACUUUUGCCGGCGAGCGGCGGACGGGUGAGUAAUGCCUGGGAAAUUGCCCAGUCGAGGGGGAUAACAGUUGGAAACGACUGCUAAUACCGCAUACGCCCUACGGGGGAAAGCAGGGGACCUUCGGGCCUUGCGCGAUUGGAUAUGCCCAGGUGGGAUUAGCUAGUUGGUGAGGUAAUGGCUCACCAAGGCGACGAUCCCUAGCUGGUCUGAGAGGAGCAUCAGCCACACUGGAACUGAGACACGGUCCAGACUCCUACGGGAGGCAGCAGUGGGGAAGAUUGCACAAUGGGGGAAACCCUGAUGCAGCCAUGCCGCGUGUGUGAAGAAGGCCUUCGGGUUGUAAAGCACUUUCAGCGAGGAGGAAAGGUUGAUGCCUAAUACGUAUCAACUGUGACGUUACUCGCAGAAGAAGCACCGGCUAACUCCGUGCCAGCAGCCGCCGUAA